AGUGAACGCUGGCGGUAGGCCUAACACAUGCAAGUCGAACGGCAGCACAGUAAGAGCUUGCUCUUACGGGUGGCGGGUGGCGGACGGGUGAGGGAUACAUCGGAAUCUACUUUUUCGUGGGGGAUAACGUAGGGAAACUUACGCUAAUACCGCAUACGACCUACGGGUGAAAGCAGGGGAUCUUCGGACCUUGCGCGAUUGAAUGAGCCGAUGUCGGAUUAGCUAGUUGGCGGGGUAAAGGCCCACCAAGGCGACGAUCCGUAGCUGGUCUGAGAGGAUGAUCAGCCACACUGGAACUGAGACACGGUCCAGACUCCUACGGGAGGCAGCAGUGGGGAAUAUUGGACAAUGGGCGCAAGCCUGAUCCAGCCAUACCGCGUGGGUGAAGAAGGCCUUCGGGUUGUAAAGCCCUUUUGUUGGGAAAGAAAAGCAGCAGGUUAAUACCCCGCUGUUCUGACGGUACCCAAAGAAUAAGCACCGGCUAACUUCGUG
rnacentral:rRNA from 1 species